rnacentral:pre_miRNA from 1 species
AUAGUCGAUUUCGUAUCAAUUCAUAUGUAUUGUGAUGAGUUAGAGUGGAACUUGAAUUAAAUUCCACCUCAAUCCACUUCAACAUAUAUCGAUUGAGGUGAAUCCGACA